GUGAGGAAUAUUGGUCAAUGGGCGGGAGCCUGAACCAGCCAAGUCGCGUGAAGGAAGAAGGAUCUAUGGUUCGUAAACUUCUUUUGCAGGGGAAUAAAGUGCGGGACGUGUCCUGUUUUGUAUGUACCCUGAGAAUAAGGAUCGGCUAACUCCGUGCCAGCAGCCGCGGUAAUACGGAGGAUCCGAGCGUUAUCCGGAUUUAUUGGGUUUAAAGGGUGCGUAGGUGGUUUGAUAAGUCAGCGGUGAAAGUUUGCAGCUUAACUGUAAAAAUGCCGUUGAAACUGUCGGACUUGAGUGUAAAUGAGGUAGGCGGAAUGCGUGGUGUAGCGGUGAAAUGCAUAGAUAUCACGCAGAACUCCGAUUGCGAAGGCAGCUUACUAAGCUACAACUGACACUGAAGCACGAAAGCGUGGGGAUCAAACAGGAUUAGAAACCCGAGUAGUCA
rnacentral:rRNA from 1 species